GCCUGUGUAAACAGACAUCUAGAGGUACAGCCUGUGUUGAGGAAAGGCCUGUGUAAACAGACAUCUAGAGGUACAGCCUGUGUUGAGGAAAGGCCUGUGUAAACAGACAUCUAGAGGUACAGCCUGUGUUGAGGAAAGGCCUGUGUAAACAGACAUCUAGAGGUACAGCCUGUGUUGAGGAAAGGCCUGUGUAAACAGACAUCUAGAGGUACAGCCUGUGUUGAGGAAAGGCCUGUGUAAACAGACAUCUAGAGGUACAGCCUGUGUUGAGGAAAGGCUUGUGUAAACAGACAUCUAGAGGUACAGCCUGUGUUGAGGAAAGGCCUGUGUAAACAGACAUCUAGAGGUGCAGCCUGUGUUGAGGAAAGGCCUGUGUAAACAGACAUCUAGAGGUACAGCCUGUGUUGAGGAAAGGCCUGUGUAAACAGACAUCUAGAGGUACAGCCUGUGUUGAGGAAAGGCCUGUGUAAACAGACAUCUAGAGGUGCAGCCUGUGUUGAGGAAAGGCCUGUGUAAACAGACAUCUAGAGGUACAGCCUGUGUUGAGGAAAGGCCUGUGUAAACAGACAUCUAGAGGUGCAGCCUGUGUUGAGGAAAGGCCUGUGUAAACAGACAUCUAGAGGUACAGCCUGUGUUGAGGAAAGGCCUGUGUAAACAGACAUCUAGAGGUACAGCCUGUGUUGAGGAAAGGCUUGUGUAAACAGACAUCUAGAGGUGCAGCCUGUGUUGAGGAAAGGCCUGUGUAAACAGACAUCUAGAGGUGCAGCCUGUGUUGAGGAAAGGCCUGUGUAAACAGACAUCUAGAGGUACAUCUAGAGGUACAGCCUGUGUUGAGGAAAGGCCUGUGUAAACAGACAUCUAGAGGUACAGCCUGUGUUGAGGAAAGGCCUGUGUAAACAGACAUCUAGAGGUACAGCCUGUGUUGAGGAAAGGCUUGUGUAAACAGACAUCUAGAGGUGCAGCCUGUGUUGAGGAAAGGCCUGUGUAAACAGACAUCUAGAGGUACAGCCUGUGUUGAGGAAAGGCCUGUGUAAACAGACAUCUAGAGGUGCAGCCUGUGUUGAGGAAAGGCCUGUGUAAACAGACAUCUAGA